GAAGCCCGGUCAUGCCAUCGAGUGGAGGGAGUAUGGAGGUCAUGCGUCUCCACUCGCAAACAGUUUUGGGUGACUAACGUAGUUCGUCGACCGCGAAAUAUUAAAGUCACCAACUGACAUCUAACCUUAAAUACUUGUCCAAUUGGAGCUAACAUUGGACUAAAUCUGGAACUUUGUGCAACAAAAAUGAAUUAACAUAACAGGGGGGAUUCAGUGGACAAAGAACUUUAUUGUCAACACAUUCAUUUUUGUCGAUUAUAAAAGUAAAUUCACCUUUGAAAGUGGAACACAAAUUCUAAAAUCCACAAACAUUUGCAGUUACAUACUGUUUUUAUCAGAGCACAUUGAGUUUCUCAUGAUAAAACCAAUGAGCAUAUACUACAGGCAAAGGUAAAAGAAAGCGUUAGUGGAAAUGCAUUGACUGAUGAUCGAACGUACUGACAUUUUAUUUUUGAUUAUCUUCACAGAAUUUAUGGUAUUCUGUCCUUGGUGGAUAAAUUUUUCAACAUUGAAUUGACUGAUAGCAGUGCCACGGAUUCUGAUAAACAAUCACGAAGGGUUCAAUCAUCUGUGAAGAGCUGUUUCUAUCCAUGGUUCUGUAGUCCAAUACGUCCAGCUCCCUAACAACGAGGUUUUUACCCAGCUCCACCAGGAGACUUAACGCAAAGAGGCAGUAGUGCAGACUCGAUUGGAAUCCCUGGUAUUCCACUACCUCUAAUUUAUACUCCAAAAAACAACUGAACAAAAUGAUGAAUCAAUAAAUAGAACAUUCACUGGAUAAAUCCGGAUACAAAUAGACGUAAAAUAAUUGACAAAUGUGAGGAGUGUUCAAUUUUCUUCAUUCAUUUGGAAUAAUUCAUGUGAAGUCAUUCGUCAUGAAGAAAAAUAACGAAUUGAAGCUCCUACUUUUAUUCCGGAAAAAAAAAUCAAUAGAAAUCAAUAAAAAUUUUCGAUAGCAACCAGUGAGUGUAUUGUGGAUACCCAUCCUCUCUUCAUGUCUUACGAUAAAAACUAUCGAAAUUCGAACAUCAAUAUACAGGAGGGAUUAAAAUAUGUCGAGAGAACAACACAUACAAAAUUAUUUCGAAGAAGGCUAUACGUAUCCAGAAAUAACUAGUUUAUUAUCCAAGUAUCACGAUAUUGCAAUAUCAUUAAGACAAUUGUGUAGAAUAUUGAAGAAAAUGCGGUUAAAAAGGAAAAAUAUCACCGAGGACUCGUUAGAGUGUAUAUGCAGUGCGAUGAUUGAUGAAUUAGGUGCAAGUGGAUCAUGCCUCGGUUAUAAAUCGAUGUGGCGGAGGUUGUCGCAAACUUAUGGGCUGAAAGUUCGUAGAGAGACGGUUUAUGAAAUUUUACACUUAUUAGAUCCUGAAGGAAUCGAAAAUAGACAACGCCAUAGAUUGACAAGAAGGAAGUAUAAAGUCCCUGGGCCAAACUUCUUAUGGCAU